GGCUAUGAGGUCGAUCUGGCUGUGACAUCUGUCACCCCAUUGAUCCCCAGGGCUGAUUCAGCUGAUCUGCCUACUGGGUGGGUGUCCCCUUCCCCUCUCAUUGCUCCAUGUGCGUCCCUCCUGAAGCUGACCACUAGGUCAAAGAGGACGGCCUCCCCAGAAUAGAGACGGACUGGUCUUCGGUUUGUGGAGGGUAUAGAGUAGCUGCGCUCCCCUGCUAGAACCUCCAAACAAGCUUCCUAUGGUCUUGUCAAUGUUUUCAUUUUAUAAAUAAAAUAACAACAACAAUAAUAAAACACUCCUUGUUAGUCAUU
ensembl:misc_RNA 7SK 7SK RNA